UGCAGUCGAGCGGACAGAAGGGAGCUUGCUCCCGGAUGUUAGCGGCGGACGGGUGAGUAACACGUGGGUAACCUGCCUGUAAGACUGGGAUAACUCCGGGAAACCGGAGCUAAUACCGGAUAGUUCCUUGAACCGCAUGGUUCAAGGAUGAAAGACGGUUUCGGCUGUCACUUACAGAUGGACCCGCGGCGCAUUAGCUAGUUGGUGAGGUAACGGCUCACCAAGGCGACGAUGCGUAGCCGACCUGAGAGGGUGAUCGGCCACACUGGGACUGAGACACGGCCCAGACUCCUACGGGAGGCAGCAGUAGGGAAUCUUCCGCAAUGGACGAAAGUCUGACGGAGCAACGCCGCGUGAGUGAUGAAGGUUUUCGGAUCGUAAAGCUCUGUUGUUAGGGAAGAACAAGUGCAAGAGUAACUGCUUGCACCUUGACGGUACCUAACCAGAAAGCCACGGCUAACUACGUGCCAGCAGCCGCGGUAAUACGUAGGUGGCAAGCGUUGUCCGGAAUUAUUGGGCGUAAAGGGCUCGCAGGCGGUUUCUUAAGUCUGAUGUGAAAGCCCCCGGCUCAACCGGGGAGGGUCAUUGGAAACUGGGAAACUUGAGUGCAGAAGAGGAGAGUGGAAUUCCACGUGUAGCGGUGAAAUGCGUAGAGAUGUGGAGGAACACCAGUGGCGAAGGCGACUCUCUGGUCUGUAACUGACGCUGAGGAGCGAAAGCGUGGGGAGCGAACAGGAUUAGAUACCCUGGUAGUCCACGCCGUAAACGAUGAGUGCUAAGUGUUAGGGGGUUUCCGCCCCUUAGUGCUGCAGCUAACGCAUUAAGCACUCCGCCUGGGGAGUACGGUCGCAAGACUGAAACUCAAAGGAAUUGACGGGGGCCCGCACAAGCGGUGGAGCAUGUGGUUUAAUUCGAAGCAACGCGAAGAACCUUACCAGGUCUUGACAUCCUCUGACAACCCUAGAGAUAGGGCUUUCCCUUCGGGGACAGAGUGACAGGUGGUGCAUGGUUGUCGUCAGCUCGUGUCGUGAGAUGUUGGGUUAAGUCCCGCAACGAGCGCAACCCUUGAUCUUAGUUGCCAGCAUUCAGUUGGGCACUCUAAGGUGACUGCCGGUGACAAACCGGAGGAAGGUGGGGAUGACGUCAAAUCAUCAUGCCCCUUAUGACCUGGGCUACACACGUGCUACAAUGGACAGAACAAAGGGCUGCGAGACCGCAAGGUUUAGCCAAUCCCACAAAUCUGUUCUCAGUUCGGAUCGCAGUCUGCAACUCGACUGCGUGAAGCUGGAAUCGCUAGUAAUCGCGGAUCAGCAUGCC
rnacentral:rRNA from 1 species